rnacentral:misc_RNA from 1 species
UUUCCGUAGGUGGACCUGCGGAAGGAUCAUUAAAAAUGAAGCCGGGAAACCGGUCCUUCUAACCCUUGAUUAUCUUAAUUUGUUGCUUUGGUGGGCCGCGCAAGCACCGGCUUCGGCUGGAUCGUGCCCGCCAGAGGACACAACUCUGUAUCAAAUGUCGUCUGAGUACUAUAAAAUAGUUAAAACUUUCAACAACGGAUCUCUUGGUUCUG